AGCGAACGCUGGCGGCAGGCCUAACACAUGCAAGUCGAACGGAUCCUUCGGGAUUAGUGGCGGACGGGUGAGUAACACGUGGGAACGUACCUUUUGGUUCGGAACAACUCAGGGAAACUUGAGCUAAUACCGAAUGUGCCCUUCGGGGGAAAGAUUUAUCGCCAUUAGAGCGGCCCGCGUCUGAUUAGCUAGUUGGUGAGGUAAAGGCUCACCAAGGCUACGAUCAGUAGCUGGUCUGAGAGGAUGAUCAGCCACAUUGGGACUGAGACACGGCCCAAACUCCUACGGGAGGCAGCAGUGGGGAAUCUUGCGCAAUGGGCGAAAGCCUGACGCAGCCAUGCCGCGUGAAUGAUGAAGGUCUUAGGGUUGUAAAAUUCUUUCUACCGGGGACGAUAAUGACGGUACCCGGAGAAGAAGCCCCGGCUAACUUCGUGCCAGCAGCCGCGGUAAU
rnacentral:rRNA from 1 species